AAUGGCUUCCUCUCUUCUUCUUCUUGUGUCAGUUUCAUGGUUCUCUUCCUUCCUGGCUCUGCUAGUCUCCCCCGCACAAGCAGCCACCUGCACCUCACAGACAUUCAAUAACAACAAGCUCUACUCCAACUGCACCGACCUCCCCGUCCUCAACUCCUACCUCCACUGGACCUACGAUACCUCCGACUCCUCUCUGUCUAUCGCCUUCAUCUCUACACCCUCCCAAUCUGACGGCUGGGUAGCGUGGGGCAUCAACCCCACCUCCACCAAGAUGGCUGGAGCACAGAUACUCUUGGCCUACAACACAGAUGGUGGGAUCCCAACCGUCAAAACCUUCAACAUCAGCUCAUACACCUCCGUGGUACCGGGAAAACUCUCAUUUGAUAUCUGGGACAUCAGCUCCGAGUUCUCCAACGGAACGUUCAAGAUCUUCGCCGCCGUUAAGGUUCCCAAAAACAAGAAGUCUGUGAACCAAGUCUGGCAGGUGGGCCCCAGGGUCAACCAAACCUCUGGUUUCCCCGACAAACAUGACAUCGUCGGCCCCAACCUCGAGUCCUUUCAGACCUUGUACUUGGCAGCUAGGCCCAUUACGGGCAAUAGCUUUAAUCCCUAUAAACCUGGCACUAGCAUUAAUCCCUAUAAUCCUGGCAACUGCAGUAGUCCAAAUACGGGCACUCCUUCCAUUAGGCAGCUCUGCACUCCCGCUAGUGGCCGUGGUGGUGGUAGUGCAGGAGGGGCUUUGAGGAUUGGGAGUGGAGGAAACGUGGUUUUGUUCUCUGUUUUGCUUUCGGUUCUUGCAGCUUUCAUUGCUUUCUAAAUUUGGUAUUUUGGAUUUGGUCUUCCUGAUUUUAUUUUUCUUCAUAGUAAUGUGAUCGAUGAGGUUUAUUGUAUAGGGAUGGUAAUUUUCUGAUGCUAUAAUGGGUCGUGUGAAGAAUAAAAUUAUGUUUGGGGAUAGCUUUGGGGAAAUUUUUUGGAUAUGAGGUUGGGGCUGGUUCGGGGAAAUUAUGAUAUAAAGUAAUAUGUAUAUUAUUUAUAUUUCAUGUAUGUAUAUAUUGCUAAGUGUGUUCUAGUUGUGUAACAUGAAUAUUAUUAAAUUUUAAAUUCUGCAUAUUUCAUUCAAUAGUUUCUAUUUUUUUUCUCUGGUAUCAAAGGCUUAAAUAGAGUUUGUUACCAAGCUCCGAUUCGCUUGGUCAUGUUCUCAUCCCUAUUAUAUUGUUGAAGAUGAAACAAUUAGCAAGUACAAAAUAUUUUUUUGAUUUUGGUUGCUUGUUUAAUAGAGUUCGUUAAGUUAAAUCCUUUUAUUUAGUGGGAGUGAGCAGCAGAAACACCAAUGACAAUGAAUCAAGGAGUACAAGGACUCUGAGUUAAACGUAACACAUGAUAGAUGACUUGGCUCAACAAAUCAGAUGGCCUACGAUACAUAGACUGUACCAAAGGAUUACCCAAUAACAAUCAACCAAACAAACUGCACACAUACCUGACUUUAACUAAACCUUUUGCAUUUCAGAACUAGUAAUCCAAUACUACUUUUUGGAGACGAGACCCAAACAUCCUAAAUCAGUUCAGAAAUUGAAAACUCAUUCAAUCAAAUUAUUAAACAGAUGGCAUAUGCAUUCAAAGUGACAUCCUAGGCACUCAGAAGGAUCCGCCAAGCUAGGACUCCGCAUUUCUUGCUCAAAUCCAUACGUUCAGAAGCAAAUAAUAAGACAUGCUGAUGAAAUAAACUAAAGGAACUUUGCAAAACAAAGAUACAGAACAACCAUUCUGUUUGGUUAUGAUUAAUCAUAUUUGACACUCUUGUAAUUUUACUUAGUAAUUUAAAAGCUCAAUGGAUCUAGAUUAGGAUAAUGGUGCUAGCAUAAAUUUUUUUACUUUGUAAUUUUACUUUGGACAUAAGCAUAAUUUUUUUAAAGAGAUCGUUACAUUGUUAAAUGAUAUUAUUAAUUUACGCUUUAUAAUUAAUAUAGAUGAAUGACAUACUGAUAUGUGCAUGCAUAUGUAUUAUAAAGUAGAUUGAAACCACCCUACAUUCCACAUGUGUCGCAAGGGAAGACUUAUUAUAAGACGCCGCCUCCUAUCCGCUUAUAAUUUUAAGAGAGAGUUGCUCAACAUUUUAUUUUUUUUUUGGGUAAGAGAGAUUUGCUCAACUUUAUAAAGCAGAAUUAUUUCAUCUUUUUUUACCAAAGACAAGAACAUGAAAUACUUUCUUUUAAGUUUCUAGACUUGUCUAUUGUCACGCUUGAAAAACUCCAUUUCCUUCUGUCUAAAAUUCUCCCUCAAUCAGCAUCUCUUCAGUCUCAGGUUAGUAAGGAUUCUCAAAUUUUGCUCAUUUUCUGAGUUACCUUCUCCACUACAACUCUUUUGUCCCAAACAAAGGUUGAAGUAUUUUCAAAUAGGGCCCACCACUUGAAGUCAAUUGUCGCUCAAUUUUGGUGGCAUUUUCAGAGAGAGUUUCCUCGUUCUCAGAUUGAGCAUUUUGCAGCUUCUUCCAUACAGGCAUUCUGGCGCCGCCAUCGGGCAAAGGCUAAGGGCCCAACUGGAUGGGACAAACUUACAUUAAAUUAGCCAAAACUACGACAUCCAAAAAAAAGAAGAGUGUAAUAAGCACAUAAACCAACUACUUUUCUUUUUUUCUUAUCUUAUUUGGGUAUUUUGUUUGUGUUUGUGUUGCUUUGUUUGUUUUCGAUUGUUUACUAUUUGUCAUCCUUGGUUCGUUCCCCUUCAAUGUCGAGGUGUGGACUGCUUUGAAGGGAGCAUUUUUCUCACAAUUUUAAUCCAAUGUAUAUUUUUACCAUUAUUCUCAAUACUUGACAGGUGUCUUUAAGUAUAACCAUAGUUACAUAAAUCGAAGUAAAAAAGUUAAUUAUGGUUAUGCUUAUGAAUACGUGUCAAAUAUUGAAAAGGGUGGUGAACAAAAAUAUUUCUCUGCUUUGAAUUUGUUUUGGACCUUGUAACAUGCAAUAAUUUAUUAUCAUUUUGAAGUUGUGCCUUGUUUUGAGUUUUUUAAAGUGGUUUUCUUCGGCCUUGGCCCUUUUCUAUAUGGUUUCCUUGUUUUGGCUUUGUACAAGCCACUAGGUUUCUUGUUAAGUAAUGAUCUUGUGACCCAAAAAAGAGGCUAAUUUUGUUUGCAGUAACACCCUUGAAUAAUGACAAUACCAAAAAAGCCUUAUUUGCUUACUGAAAGUAUUUAAAAAGUGUCUUUUGACCUCUAGGCAAUAGUUGUUGUAAGAGUAAGUUCUAUGAAGGAUAAAAUUAGGCACGAAGACAUGUUUGGGGAGAUUUAUGGAUAUGGUGUUGGGAAUUAUAUUGUAUCUUGAAUUAAAUAAUUAAUUCAUAAAAAAUAAAACUUUCCUUUUGUUUGCUGUUCUAAUCCAAUCAUUUCUAUUAUAUAUAUUUUUGCUCAUUCAAAAAUUAUUAUUUUUAUGAGUAUUAUUGUAAGGUCAGGAAUCCUUUCUCCAAUGAAUGCGAGAAGGGGGAAAUGUCGGGUUUCAAUAUUAUGGGUGUUGAGGCAGGAAUGAAAUACGAAUGGCUUACUCGAUUCGACCUGUUAUACAAUCAUCUUCAUCAUAAUCCUAUUAAGAGCCAACAUAGCCCAGUUCCCUUGUAUUGUAUUCACCCUCUCAACAAAACCAUUGAAAAGCUCGGCUCCGUCGCUUCUGACACAAGAUCUGCUUGGCAAGGGCAACAAAACCAUUAAAAAUAAGAUAUUAAUAUAUCUUAUGUGCAUGCAUACGUAUUAUAAAGUAGAUUGAAACCACCCUACAUUCGACAUGUGUCAGUUGCACUCAAAAAUAAUAUUCCGCUUAUUGUGACCUUUCUUAACAGCAAUAAAGGAUGAAUGCAAAUGAGCUUGGAAAAGACAAGAGCAACGUCUUAUCUGCUUUUAGGAGAGAUUUGCAAAUGAGCAGCAUUAUUUCAUCUUUUUGGCCAAAGACAACACCACCACUCCAACUUUCAUUGAGCCAUAGAAUAUGAAAUACUUUCUUUCAGUUUUCUAGACUUGUCUAUUGUCAAGCUUGAAAAACUCCAUUUCGUUAUGUCCAAAUUCUCCAUCUAUCCGUAUCUCUUCACUCUCAGGUUAGUAAGGAUUCUCACUAAAACUUGAUUGUUGUUAGAGGGGCAAAACAGAGAAGAAGGAAAAAAAACUUAUUUUUAUUCUUUGGAAAGAGAUAUACUCGUGGAAACUAUUGAGAGGGAGAGUGGGGUCAAUUUUGGAGAAUUAUAUCUAUAUGUUAGUUUUCCCACGAACAUAUUUAUCUCUAAUUAGCUUUUAACAUGCCAGAAAACAAUCCAGGGCAAUCAUAAAAAGUACAAUCCAUAAGUCAGAUCUCAACUAUAUAUGCACGAACACUAAGAUAAGACUGACUAAUUAAUCAAGCGGAAAGCAUAGUAUUAGUGGAAGCAAAAUUAUUUCAUCUUUUUGCUAAAGAUAAUAAUCCUUCAGUUAUUUUUACUCGUAUUUUAUUUUUUUAUUCAUUUUAUCUUCUAAUCUAUCAUGUAAAUUAAAAAAAUAAUAAUAACCUUACCUUUUCAUACAUCAUUAUUCCAAAAAUACCCUUAAUUCAAUUCAAACUAAGAACCAAUCAUGACUAUAACAUGAAUGCAAGUUAAAUGGGCAAGAAAUGAACAAAGAAUGGAAAUAACAGCACUCUAAUUCUUUUGGCAACACUCCAACUUCUAUGGGCCAUAAUUGAAUUCAGACAUUUAUCUUCUCUUCAGCUUUUGCUAAAGACAUUUAUCCUUUCUUCGGUCUGUCCAAAUUCUCUCUCUCUCUCUCUCUCCCCAAUGGCUUCCUCUCUUCUUCUUCUUGUGUCAGUUUCAUGGUUCUCUUCCUUCCUGGCUCUGCUAGUCUCACCCGCACAAGCAGACACCUGCACCUCACAGGUAUUCAUUAACAGCAAUCUCUACUCCAGCUGCACCGACCUCCCCGUCCUCAGCUCCUACCUCCACUGGACCUACGAUACCUCCAACUCCUCUCUGUCCAUCGCCUUCAUCUCUACACCCCCCCAAUCUGACGGCUGGGUAGCGUGGGGCAUCAACCCCACCUCCACCAAGAUGGCUGGGGCACAGAUACUCUUGGCCUACAACACAGAUAGUGGGAUCCCAACCGUCAAAACCUUCAACAUCAGCUCAUACACCUCCGUGGUACCGGGAAAACUCUCGUUUGAUAUCUGGGACAUCAGCUCCGAGUUCUCCAACGGAACGUUCAAGAUCUUCGCC
rnacentral:lncRNA from 1 species